UACGUAGGGUGCAAGCGUUAAUCGGAAUUACUGGGCGUAAAGCGUGCGCAGGCGGUUUUGUAAGUCUGACGUGAAAUCCCCGGGCUCCAACCUGGGAAUUGCGUUGGAGACUGCAAGGCUGGAGUCUGGCAGAGGGGGGUAGAAUUCCACGUGUAGCAGUGAAAUGCGUAGAGAUGUGGAGGAACACCGAUGGCGAAGGCAGCCCCCUGGGUCAAGACUGACGCUCAUGCACGAAAGCGUGGGGAGCAAACAGGAUUAGAGUACCCU
rnacentral:rRNA from 1 species